rnacentral:misc_RNA from 1 species
CGCACCUUGCGCUCUAUGGUAUUCCGUAGAGCAUGCCUGUUUGAGUGCCGUGAAUCCUCCCAACCCAAACGGUUUUUACCAAAGCUGUCUGGCGUCUGGGGUGUGGAUGGGUGUCUCUGCCUCGUCUUUGUACGCAGGCUCGCCCGAAAAGCAUGUGCGCCUUGCAUGCGCCUCUCCUGGGAAGGAGGCGGCCGGCUGUUUCUGCAGGCAUGGCAUGAUACGUCAUUUGCUGUGCUAUGGAAAGAGUCUGGUAGUAUGUGGACCGUGCGCAAUUUUUUUCCCACUUUCACUUCUGGUCUCAAAUCAGGUAGGAUCACCCGCUGAACUUAA